rnacentral:rRNA from 1 species
GACGAACGCUGGCGGCGUGCCUAAUACAUGCAAGUUGAGCGCUGAAGGUUGGUACUUGUACCAACUGGAUGAGCAGCGAACGGGUGAGUAACGCGUGGGGAAUCUGCCUUUGAGCGGGGGACAACAUUUGGAAACGAAUGCUAGUACCGCAUAAAAACUUUAAACACAAGUUUUAAGUUUGAAAGAUGCAAUUGCAUCACUCAAAGAUGAUCCCGCGUUGUAUUAGCUAGUUGGUGAGGUAAAGGCUCACCAAGGCGAUGAUACAUAGCCGACCUGAGAGGGUGAUCGGCCACAUUGGGACUGAGACACGGCCCAAACUCCUACGGGAGGCAGCAGUAGGGAAUCUUCGGCAAUGGACGAAAGUCUGACCGAGCAACGCCGCGGGAGUGAAGAAGGUUUUCGGAUCGUAAAACUCUGUUGGUAGAGAAGAACGUUGGUGAGAGUGGAAAGCUCAUCAAGUGACGGUAACUACCCAGAAAGGGACGGCUAACUACGUG